AACGCGAAGAACCUUACCUACCCUUGACAUGCUCGGAACCUUCUAGAGAUAGAGGGGUGCCUUCGGGAGCCGAGACACAGGUGCUGCAUGGCUGUCGUCAGCUCGUGUCGUGAGAUGUUGGGUUAAGUCCCGUAACGAGCGCAACCCUUGUCCUUAGUUGCCAACAGGUAGAGCUGGGAACUCUAAGGAGACUGCCGGUGAUAAGCCGGAGGAAGGUGGGGAUGACGUCAAGUCCUCAUGGCCCUUACGGGUAGGGCUACACACGUGUUACAAUGGGCAGUACAAAGGGAAGCGAAGCCGCGAGGUGUAGCAAAUCUUUUAAAAGCUGUUCGUAGUCCGGAUUGGAGUCUGCAACUCGACUCCAUGAAGUUGGAAUCGCUAGUAAUCGCGGAUCAGAACGCCGCGGUGAAUACGUUCCCGGGCCUUGUACACACCGUAGUAC
rnacentral:rRNA from 1 species